UGAGCAAUCUGCCCUUCUCAUCGGAAUAAGCGUUGGAAACGACGUCUAAUGCCGAAUACGACCUCCUUUCGCAUGAUCGGAGGUGGAAAGCUCCGGCGGAGAAGGAUGAGCUCGCGGCCUAUCAGCUUGUUGGUGAGGUAAUAGCUCACCAAGGCGAUGACGGGUAGCCGGCCUGAGAGGGUCGACCGGCCACACGUGGGACUGAGACACCGGGCCCAGACCUCGUACGGGGA
rnacentral:rRNA from 1 species